rnacentral:rRNA from 1 species
GACGAACGCUGGCGGCGUGCUUAACACAUGCAAGUCGAACGGAAAGGCCCUGCUUGCCGGGUACUCGAGUGGCGAACGGGUGAGUAACACGUGGGUGAUCUGCCCUGCACUUCGGGAUAAGCCUGGGAAACUGGGUCUAAUACCGGAUAGGAGCCAUUUUUAGUGUGAUGGUUGGAAAGUUUUUUCGGUGUAGGAUGAGCUCGCGGCCUAUCAGCUUGUUGGUGGGGUAAUGGCCUACCAAGGCGGCGACGGGUAGCCGGCCUGAGAGGGUGGACGGCCACAUUGGGACUGAGAUACGGCCCAGACUCCUACGGGAGGCAGCAGGGGGGAAUGUUGCACAAUGGGCGCAAGCCUGAUGCAGCGACGCCGCGUGGGGGAUGACGGCCUUCGGGUUGUAAACUCCUUUCGCUAGGGACGAAGCUUUUUGUGACGGUACCUAGAUAAGAAGCACCGGCUAACUACGUG